rnacentral:snoRNA from 1 species
CUGCUCCCCAGGGCUCGGUCCUCUCCAUGUGGUCCUGACCUGCCCUUUGUGAGCAAGAGCAUCAGGACUGGUUUGGGGGUGUCCUGCUUGAGUAGAUGUGGGACACCAUGGUUGGCAGUACAACA